UUGGCUCUGAGGCUCAGCAUUCCACCCGCCUGUUGGAAUCAAGUCCUCGCCGAACCCUCUCUGACUGCAGUAGAACCAGAAACUGCAGUAGUUUGGGCUGCCCAGGGUUCUUUUUCGCUCAUUCUGGCUUCCUCUCCCCUCUUCUCACCCCUCACUCCCGCGAUCUCCUGCCCACCCCCUCCAUACUCUUUCUCGAAUCUGUGGGCCGAGCUGGCACCCAGUGACCGGGCCAGGUCACAGCACCCGACACGAGGCACCUCUAUCUUCACAGAACAUCAGCCUGAAUUCUCGGUGACCCCUACAUCCAGGCGCAGCACCACAGGGCUGACCUUGCAGAGCCACCAGGGUUGCAGAGGAGAGGGGGAGGCGUCCGGCGUCCCAGGACGGAGGCCGCAGGCAUGUGAUGGGCUGGUUGGUUCCUCCAGGCACAACUUCUGACCCCCUUGAGGAGUGUCAUGUAAAUUUUACAGUGUCGUGAGCAUGUUCAUGAAAUGGAAUUUUACCUUAAACCUUGAAGCAUAACUUCACCUCCAGUUCUCACAACUUGCUCCCACACUUCAGCACAUCAUUUGGACCUCCUCCACCCAGUGUUGUGCCUCUUCUUCCUGCAUUUGCAGACCACAUCCCACAAGUCCUGCCAUACAUGGCUCCCCCCGGAGUGAAAACUUAAGCGGCCGCAGUAGGAUUUCUUCACAGAAUCAGGCCCGCUCACUUCUAGUCACAUAAACCAUGGAGAUUUGAAUGACUAACUGUGGCGCCCAGUUUUACAUGGAGCUAAAAUGAUCAGUUGAUGAUUGAUUUUCUGAAGUGUGGAAUUGGUUGCCUUCUCCCGACGAAUUUCUUGAGCCUUCUAAAAGCUCCGACCUGCUCUCCGUGUGCUAAACAUUCACGAUAGGGGACAUGUUUCUGCCACACGAAAGGAUCCCCUGCAAGGUCUCGAGAACAAUGGCUGGAGGAGAUGGAAAAGGAAAAAGACUAUUCUGUUCUUUCCUCCCACUUCAAUCUGCAGUGACCCCUCACAGCACAGCGGGUGCACUUGUACU